AAAAAUUACUUGCGUGGAUGUGGGAUAGGCUUGCAACCCUCUUCAACAGUUUCCAGUGCGGCACGAGCACGUGAUAAACAUAUGGAGUCAAUGAGAGCGGAACUAGAGGUUCUUCGUGAGGAGCAUCAAAGAGAUCACGAGGAGUUGCUGAAGGAGAAAGAGGAGCGCCAAAGAGAUCAUGAGGAGUUGGUCAAGGAGAAAAAGGAGCGCCAAAGAGAUAGGGAGGAAAUUAUGAGAGAAAGAAAUGAGCUAAUGAAACAAAUUGAAGAAGGAAAAAAAGCACGGAAGGCACAACAAGUACAACUCAAUCAUUUGAACGACGUGGUGUCACGGCUCACAACCCUCUUGCAGGGUUCAGAUGGUCAUCCUACUAUUCGGUUUUGAGGCAUAAUAUGAGUAGACUUUGCAGCAGACGGACCGUAAUCUGAUUUCCGUAAGAUGGCUUUUGGCAUUGACAUGUGGAUCUUCUAUUUUUUUGUCCGGUAGAUAAUUCAUAGUUUUGCAAAGUUGGGAAGUUUUGGGUUGUCUUCAGCUUUUUGUGUGAAAAUUGGAUGAAUCGUACAUAUAAUUUUAGCACGCGUUACAUAGUAUUUUUGGAAGUUGUAUUAAUUGCUCUGGUGGUAUAUAUAGAUUACCUUUUGUCGUGGUACAUAUUACCAUGGUAAUUUGUACCAUGCAAAAUGUCAUUACAAUGCAUAGUAUAGUAACAAUGUUUUGUGUAUAGAGGACAUUGUUUUGGUAACAUAGUUGGAAUGUAUGGCGUUAUUAUUUGUAAUUAGAAUAUAUUAGUUGGUUUGUAUAUAAGUUUACAUUGUA